CCCACACUAACCUGGCCCUCCUUGUUUCUCGAUGCUGUAGUUCCUCAUAAGGCCGAAGUAGCAAAAAGCAGGUCUAAUCUGUAUUUCGCUUCGUGAGACAAAUUUGCUUACUGAGAAUAUUUUGUCUGUCUGUGCGUUGUUGACCGGUUGAAGAUGGAUGGAUGUAGGUAAUAAUUAUAAUGUAUAUUAUAAAUACGAUAAGACAUAGAUGAAAAUAUUAUAAUUAUAAUAUAUAUUAUAAAGAAUUAUGAUUAAUGAGUUUGAACCAAACAUAAUUACUAUUGAAAACUCAAAUAUUAAUAAGACUUCCUCCCUCCCUUCCUUCCUCCCUCCCUUCCUUCCUUCCUUCCUUCCUCCCUCCCUCCCUCCUUCCCUCCCUCCCUUCCUUCCUCCCUCCUUCCCUCCCUUCCUUCCUUCCUUCCUCCCUUCCUUCCUCCCUCCCUUCCUCCCUCCCUUCCUUCCUUCCUCCCUCCCUCCCUUCCUCCCUCCUUCCUUCCUUCCUUCCUUCCUUCCUCCCUCCCUUCCUUCCUCCCUCCCUUCCUUCCUUCCUCCCUCCCUUCUUCCUUCCUCCCUCCCUUCCUUCCUUCCUCCUCCCUCCUUCCUUCCUUCCUCACUUCCUUCCUUCCUCCUCCUCCCUCCCUCCCGUCCUUCCUUCCUUCCUCCUUCCUUCCUCCCUCCCUCCUUCCCUCCUUCCUUCCUUCCUCCCUUCCUUCCUGCCUUCCUUCCUUCCCUCUUUCCUUCCUUCCUCACUUCCUUCCUUCCGUCCUUCCUUCCUCCCUUCCGUCCUUCCUCCCUCCCUUCCUUCCCUCCUUCCCUCCCUUCCUUCCUUCCUCACUUCCUUCCUCCUUCCUCCUUCCUCCCCUUCCUUCCUUCCCUCCUCCCUCCCUUCUUCCUUCCUUCCUCCUCCCUUCUUCCUUCCUCCCUCCCUUCUUCCUUCCUCCCUUCCUUCCUUCCUUCUCCCUCCCUUCCUCCUCCUUCCUUCCUUCCGUCCUCCCUCCCUUCCUCCUUCCUCCUCCCUCCCUCCCUCCUUCCUUCCUUCUCCCUCCCUUCCGUCCUUCCUCCCUCCCGCCCUUCCUUCCUUCCUCCCUCCUUCCCUCCCUCCCUCCCUUCUUCCUUCCUCCCUUCCUCCUUCCCUCCCUUCCUGCCUCCCUCCCUCCCUCCUUCUUCCUUCCUUCCUUCCUCACUUCCUUCCUUCCUUCCUCCCUCCCUCCUUCCUCCUUCCCUUCCUUCCUUCCUUCCUUCCUCCUCCCUUCCUUCCUUCCUUCCUUCCUCCUCCUUCCUUCCUCCCUCCUUCCCUCCCUUCCUUCCUCCCUCCCUCCCUUCCUCCCUCCCCUUCCUUCCUCCCAUCCCUCCUUCCUCCCUCCCUUCCUUCCUCCCUCCCGUCCUUCCUUCCUCCCGCCCUUCCUUCCUUCCUCCCUCCUUCCUUCCUGCCUUCCUUCCUUCCUGCCUCCCUCCCUCCCUUCCUGCCUUCCUUCCUUCCUCCCUCCCUCCCUUCCUUCCUUCCUCCCCCCUCCUUCCCUCCUUCCCUUCCGUCCUUCCUUCCUUCCCCCUCCCUCCUUUCCUUCCUUCCUCCCUUCCUUCCUUCCGUCCUUCCUUCCUCCCUCCUUGCCUCCCUUCCUUCCUCCUCCCUCCCUCCCUUCCUCCCUCCUUCCUUCCUCCCCUUCCUUCCUCCCAUCCCUUCCUUCCUCCCUCCCUUCUUCCUUCCUUCCGUCCGUCCUUCCUUCCUCCCUCCCUUCCUUCCGUCCUCCCUUCCUUCCUCCCUCCCCUCCCUCCCUCCCUUCCUUCCUCCCUUCCUUCCGGUCCUUCCUUCCUUCCUCCCUCCUUGCCUCCCUUCCUGCCUUCCUCCCUCCUCCCCUUCCUCCCUCCCUUCCUUCCUUCCUUCCUCCCUCCCUUCCUUCCCUCCUUCCCUUCCUCCCUUCCUUCCUUCCUUCCUUCCGUCCUCCCUCCCUCCUUCCUCCCUUCCCCCUUCCUUCCUCCCUCCCUCCUCCCUCCUCCCUCCUCCCCUUCCUCCUCCCUUCCGUCCUUCCUUCCUUCCGUCCUUCCUUCCUCCCUCCUCCUUCCCUCCUUCCCUUCCUCCCUUCCUCCCUUCCUUCUUCCUCCCUCCCUUCCUCCCUCCCUUCUUCCUUCCUCCUCCCUUCCUUCCUUCCUCCUUCCUCCUCCCCCUUCCUUCCUCAUUUUAACCAAUGCUUCUAUCGAGGCACAUUCCUGCUCUAGAAAUCUGCUUUAGGCACCAUUCCACGAACACAGACACACUUCUGAGACCCGAGGGCCGUCCUGGCACCCGGCAGGCAGCCACCGGGAGAAGUGCAGACGAGGCCUCCUCAGCCCCACCCCUGUCUCACUGGCGGCAAGGGCCAGCACCUUGCAGGGAGCCUAUCCCAGGCCCAGCUGAGUUCUCUUCAGCCUGGGUGCCCAGAGGAUGACUCAGUCAGUGAUUUCAUUCACCCAGCCUGGUGUUUAUGCCACUCGCCACAAAAUGAGUUGAUACUGUUUGGAGCUGUCCUGAGCUGACGCUAUGCAGGGCAGGGGGGUGGGGGGGGGGUGGAGAAGCUCAUCCAGUCAGCUUGUGGCCUC
ensembl:lncRNA